AUGUCGUACACAUGUUGUUACGGUGGAACCACAAUAACAAUGGUAUCGUGGCAAGCUUCACCGUUACAGGCCAUCGGUAUUGCAGAUAGAGCACAUCAAAUUGAAGUGACAGACCAGCUCCGAUUAGCACAUGCGACACAACAAGGAGCUUCAACUACAAUCAAUAGCGGCACGACAACAUCUACUGCGGGGACCUCGGAGCACACGGAAGGGGCGUUCCAUGAGCAAGUCACUAAUGCUGCCACAAACAAUGCAGAAUCAAUAUUAGAACUGACAAUCGUUGUAGCAAUGACGACAAGCACGCCUGUGCACACCAGCACAAGCAACAUUCAAGCAGAUGAAAUGGCCGCCAAUACUAAAGUGAGUGAUGAAACUGAUGACAAAGCGCAAGGGGAAGAAGAAGAUGGGCAUUCGGAAAUUGUGAUACCUCAACCACCAUAUGCUAGGCAGAAAUUUGGUUCGUUUGAAGAUGCCAAGGAAUUCUACCAUAGAUAUGCAAUGUUUCAUGGGUUUGCGGUGAACACAGAAUAUCAUAGGAAAAUAAAAAAACUAACAAGUACAACAGAGGUGAGAUAA
rnacentral:rRNA from 1 species